UACGGGGGGAGCAAGCGUUGUUCGGAUUUACUGGGCGUAAAGGGCGCGUAGGCGGCUUUGUAAGUCACUUGUGAAAUCUCCGGGCUUAACUCGGAACGGCCAAGUGAUACUGCAAUGCUAGAGUGCAGAAGGGGCAAUCGGAAUUCUUGGUGUAGCGGUGAAAUGCGCAGAUAUCGGGAGGAACACCAGUAGCGAAGGCGGCUCGCUGGGCCAUUCCUGACGCUGAGACGCGAAAGCUAGGGGAGCGAACAGG
rnacentral:rRNA from 1 species